GAUGAACGCUGGCGGCGUGCCUAAUACAUGCAAGUCGAGCGAACGGACGAGAAGCUUGCUUCUCUGAUGUUAGCGGCGGACGGGUGAGUAACACGUGGAUAACCUACCUAUAAGACUGGGAUAACUUCGGGAAACCGGAGCUAAUACCGGAUGAUAUUUUGAACCGCAUGGUUCAAAAGUGAAAGACGGUCUUGCUGUCACUUAUAGAUGGAUCCGCGCUGCAUUAGCUAGUUGGUAAGGUAACGGCUUACCAAGGCAACGAUGCGUAGCCGACCUGAGAGGGUGAUCGGCCACACUGGAACUGAGACACGGUCCAGACUCCUACGGGAGGCAGCAGUAGGGAAUCUUCCGCAAUGGGCGAAAGCCUGACGGAGCAACGCCGCGUGAGUGAUGAAGGUCUUCGGAUCGUAAAACUCUGUUAUUAGGGAAGAACAUAUGUGUAAGUAACUGUGCACAUCUUGACGGUACCUAAUCAGAAAGCCACGGCUAACUACGU
rnacentral:rRNA from 1 species